rnacentral:rRNA from 1 species
UACAGAGGUCUCAAGCGUUGUUCGGAUUCAUUGGGCGUAAAGGGUGCGUAGGCGGCGCGGUAAGUCGGGGUGUGAAAUCUCGGGGCUUAACUCCGAAACUGCAUUCGAUACUGCCGUGCUUGAGGACUGGAGAGGAGACUGGAAUUUACGGUGUAGCGGUGAAAUGCGUAGAUAUCGUAAGGAAGACCAGUGGCGAAGGCGGGUCUCUGGACAAGUUCCUGACGCUGAGGCACGAAGGCCAGGGGAGCAAACGGG